AGGGAUAUAGUUAAAAAUAACAUUUGGUUUGCACUCAAAAAGUAUUGAAUUAUUCAAUUAUCCUUA
rnacentral:tRNA from 1 species